GGAUGACCUCGGAUCAGGUAGGGAUACCCGCUGAACUUAAGCAUAUCAAUAAGCGGAGGAAAAGAAACCAACAGGGAUUACCUCAGAA
rnacentral:rRNA from 1 species